AUUGAACGCUGGCGGCAGGCUUAACACAUGCAAGUCGAGCGAGCGGCGGACGGGUGAGUAAUGUAUGGGGAUCUGCCCGAUAGAGGGGGAUAACUACUGGAAACGGUGGCUAAUACCGCAUACUAUCGGAUGAACCCAUAUGGGAGAUGCUAGUAGGUGGGGUAAAGGAUCACCUAGGCGACGAUCUCUAGCUGGUCUGAGAUGAUGAUCAGCCACACUGUGACUGAGAAACGGCCCAGACUCCGACGGGAGGCAGCAGUGGGGAAUAUUGCACAAUGGGCGCAAGCCUGAUGCAGCCAUGCCGCGUGUGUGAAGAAGGCCUUCGGGUUGUAAAGCACUUUCAGCGAGGAGGCGUUACUCGCAGAAGAAGCACCGGCUAACUCCGUGCCAGCAGCCGCGGUAAUAC
rnacentral:rRNA from 1 species